GAUGAACGCUGGCGGCGUGCCUAAUACAUGCAAGUCGAGCGAACGGACGAGAAGCUUGCUUCUCUGUUGUUAGCGGCGGACGGGUGAGUAACACGUGGAUAACCUCCCUAUAAGACUGGGAUAACUUCGGGAAACCGGAGCUUAUACCGGAUAAUAUUUUGAACCGCAUGGUUCAAAAGUGAAAGUCGGUCUUGCUGUCACUUAUAGAUGGAUCCGCGCUGCUUUAGCUAGUUGGUAAGGUAACGGCUUACCAAGGCAACGAUGCAUAGCCGACCUGAGAGGGUGAUCGGCCACACUGGAGCUUAGACAGGGUCCAUACGCCUACGAGAGGCAGCAGUAGGGAAUCUUCCGCAGUGGGCGAAAGUCUGACGGAGCAACGCCGCGUGAGUGAUGAAGGUCUUCCGAGCGUAAAACUCUGUUAUUAGGGAAGAACAUAUGUGUAAGUAACUGUGCACAUCUUGACGGUACCUAAUCAGAAAGCCACGGCUAACUACGUG
rnacentral:rRNA from 1 species